AUACAGAGGGUGCAAGCGUUAAUCGGAAUUACUGGGCGUAAAGCGCGCGUAGGUGGUUAGUUAAGUUGGAUGUGAAAGCCCUGGGCUCAACCUGGGAACGGCAUUCAAAACUGGCUGACUAGAGUAUGGUAGAGGGAAGGGGAAUUCCAGGUGUAGCGGUGAAAUGCGUAGAUAUCUGGAGGAACAUCAGUGGCGAAGGCGCCUUCCUGGACUAAUACUGACACUGAGGUGCGAAAGCGUGGGUAGCAAACAGGAUUAGAAACCCUAGUAGUCC
rnacentral:rRNA from 1 species